CNGGUGUAGCGGUGGAAUGCGCAGAUAUCAGGAGGAACACCGAUGGCGAAGGCAGGUNUCUGGGCUGUAACUGACGCUGAGAAGCGAAAGCAUGGGGAGCGAACAGGAUUAGAUACCCUGGUAGUCCAUGCCGUAAACGUUGGGCACUAGGUGUGGGGGACAUUCCGCGUUUUCCGCGCCGUAGCUAACGCAUCAAGUGCCCCGCCUGGGGAGUACGGCCGCAAGGCUAAAACUCAAAGAAAUUGACGGGGGCCCGCACAAGCGGCGGAGCAUGCGGAUUAAUUCGAUGCAACGCGAAGAACCUUACCAAGGCUUGACAUAUACUGGACUGCGUCAGAGAUGGCGUUUCCCUUCGGGGCUGGUAUACAGGUGGUGCAUGGUUGUCGUCAGCUCGUGUCGUGAGAUGUUGGGUUAAGUCCCGCAACGAGCGCAACCCUCGUUCUAUGUUGCCAGCACGUGAUGGUGGGGACUCAUAGGAGACUGCCGGGGUCAACUCGGAGGAAGGUGGGGAUGACGUCAAAUCAUCAUGCCCCUUAUGUCUUGGGCUUCACGCAUGCUACAAUGGCCGGUACAGAGGGUUGCGAUACUGUGAGGUGGAGCUAAUCCCUAAAAGCUGGUCUCAGUUCGGAUUGGGGUCUGCAACUCGACCCCAUGAAGUCGGAGUCGCUAGUAAUCGCAGAUCAGCAACGCUGCGGUGAAUACGUUCCCGGGCCUUGUACACACCGCCCGUCAAGUCACGAAAGUUGGUAACACCCGAAGCCGGU
rnacentral:rRNA from 1 species